GGGCACCACCAGGAGUGGAGCCUGCGGCUUAAUUUGACUCAACACGGGAAAACUCACCCGGCCCGGACACUAGGAGGAUUGACAGACUGACUAGCUCUUUCUUGAUUCAGUGGGUGGUGGUGCAUGGCCGUUCUUAGUCGGUGGAGCGAUUUGUCUGGUUAAUUCCGAUAACGAACGAGACUCUAGCCUACUAGUUAGCCGGCCCGGUCGUUAUGCGCCCGGGCAGCGAGCUUCUUAGAGGGACAGACGGCGAGUAAGCCGUACGAGAUAGAGCAAUAACAGGUCUGUGAUGCCCUUAGAUGUCCGGGGCCGCACGCGCGCUACACUGAAGUGAUCAGCACGCUAGCAAGCCCGCUCCGAGAGGAGCGGGUAACCGUUUGAACCCCUUCAUGAUAGGGAUUGAGCUUUGUAACUAUUGCUCAUGAACGAGGAAUUCCCAGUAAGCGCGAGUCAUAAGCUCGCGUUGAUUACGUCCCUGCCCUUUGUACACACCGCCCGUCGCUACUACCGAUUGUAUGU
rnacentral:rRNA from 1 species